CCGUGUGCAGGUGCUGAGGCAGGUCUGGCUAGGGUGAGCUCGCUGAGCCGGUGAAAACAGAAGAAAGAGAAACAAGAGCUGUGAAAAUGAGAAAACUUGCCGAGGAAGUGUAGCGUCAUCAAUCAGCUGCUAAUCUGCCAACAGUUCAUCUUGCGGCUCAGAUUCGAGUCCUUUCACUAAUGCCAAACAGGGAAACAAAAAAAGAGACAACUCACUGCUGAUGUUGGAAUCAGUCCAGGCAAAACCAGAAGUGAAGGAGUGAAUAUUACUCACUUUCCCUCUGUGAUUGUCUUAUCUCAGAAUACUUCACCACAUGUAAAGAUGAUAUGAAGACUCUCUGUAAGGUGUGGCUCUACAGAGACGUUAUUUUGGACACAACCCAUGGUGCAGUUGAAAUUCCUAUUUUCCUUUGAAUCUUCAGUGAUGUUGGAAUGAGUUUGAGAUGGGUGCUCAGAUCCAGGCUAUGACCAUGCUGACCAAGGCAAAGCAGUUCAUUUGUAUCUGGAAGAAAAGUAAAUCAUCACAGGAACUGGU